rnacentral:rRNA from 1 species
GACGAACGCUGGCGGCGUGCUUAACACAUGCAAGUGGAGCGACGAACCAGGGCUUGCCCUGGGGCAGAGCCGCGAACGGGUGAGUAACACGUGGGUAACGUGCCCCGAUGACUGGGACAACCCGGGGAAACCCGGGCUAAUACCGGAUGUGCCCCCUCACAUCAGUGAGGUGUGUAAAGGAAGCUUCGGCCUCCGCAUCGGGAUCGGCCCGCGGCCCGUUAGCUUGUUGGUGAGGUAACGGCUCACCAAGGCUGCGAUGGGUAGCUGGUCUGAGAGGACGAUCAGCCACACUGGGACUGAGACACGGCCCAGACUCCUACGGGAGGCAGCAGUGGGGAAUCUUGCGCAAUGCGCGAAAGCGUGACGCAGCAACGCCGCGUGGGGGAAGACGGCCUUCGGGUUGUAAACCCCUUUCAGUUGGGACGAAGGUCGGGCGGUUAACAGCCGUUCCGGCUGACGGUACCUUCACAAGAAGCCCCGGCUAACUACGUG